AGAGUUUGAUCAUGGCUCAGAUUGAAGCAUGAAGGCAUGCCUUACACAUGCAAGUCGAACGGCAGCACGGUGGGCAACCCUGGUGGCGAGUGGCGAACGGGUGAGUAACGCAUCGGAACGUGCCCAGUAGUGGGGGAUAACCAGUCGAAAGACUGGCUAAUACCGCAUACGACCUAAGGGUGAAAGCGGGGGACCGUAAGGCCUCGCGCUAUUGGAGCGGCCGAUGUCUGAUUAGCUAGUUGGUGAGGUAAAGGCUCACCAAGGCGACGAUCAGUAGCUGGUCUGAGAGGAUGGCCAGCCACACUGGGACUGAGACACGGCCCAGACUCCUACGGGAGGCAGCAGUGGGGAAUUUUGGACAAUGGGCGCAAGCCUGAUCCAGCCAUGCCGCGUGCGGGAAGAAGGCCUUCGGGUUGUAAACCGCUUUUGGCAGGAACGAAACGGCAUCCCCUAAUACGGGGUGUUAAUGACGGUACCUGCAGAAUAAGCACCGGCUAACUACGUGCCAGCAGCCGCGGUAAUACGUAGGGUGCAAGCGUUAAUCGGAAUUACUGGGCGUAAAGCGUGCGCAGGCGGCUAUGCAAGACAGAUGUGAAAUCCCCGGGCUCAACCUGGGAACUGCAUUUGUGACUGCAUGGCUAGAGUUUGUCAGAGGGGGGUGGAAUUCCACGUGUAGCAGUGAAAUGCGUAGAGAUGUGGA
rnacentral:rRNA from 1 species